UUGUCUUUGUUCGCCAUUUUGGUUUUGGUUGAGGUGACGGGGACGCCAAGGCAAUUUAUAAGGUUGAUUUUCGUUUCGACCUAUUUUGUUCUUUCUUAAUAAUAUUUAAAUCAAUGCAAGUGACAAUUAUAUAUUAUUGCAUUUUGUAGACGAUUGUUCGUGUCUAUAUCUCUAAUUCACCGGUGUCCGGUUUUUAACAAAGAAACAUGAACCGCAAUAUGAUGCAUGGACGCGGUCGCGGUCGCGGUGGAGCCUCCAAUACUUUCGUAUCAAGUCAUAUGCGAAAUUUAGACACUGAAAUGGAGAUGUUACAGAGAAAACGAGAAGUUCUGCAAUAUGAACAGCAGAGGCUUGUUAAUGAGCGAGUCAACAUGAGAAAGAUUUCGAAGAAUACUUGAAAUCAAAUAUGUGCAAAAUCAUGUCGGAUAAAUUGAAUGAAUUAUUUGACAAGAUGAAACAAUUGUGUGA